rnacentral:lncRNA from 1 species
GAGCUUGCAACAUGUCCAUUGCGUUAGGGUGUUACCAAGAACAAAAAAAUAUGAAAAAAAAGAAACCAGAAAUCAAAAGCAGACACAAUUUUUUGUCAUUCACUUGGACCUCCUUUUACACUCAUCACCCUACCAGAAUAACAAAAAAGAGGUAGUAUAUUUCCACUUUCUAGCUAGAAGGCUUUGAUGUGCCCCAAUACAAUAAACCAGAAGUCACAAGCAACAAAACCCAAGUACAAAGUAGACCAGUAAUAGAAGCGGCAUGUGACUACUUCAACACAAAGGUCCAGAAACAUAGUGUUGGUGUAUGUGUGUAUUAUGGCCCAAUAAGGCCCAUGUAUGACUGCUAUAUAGCUACCCACUAGGGUUAGCCCAAUAGAUAAGGUUUAUCCUCUGAUAUGGUAUCAGCCUAGGUUAGGGUUUCCUGGCGCCGCCGCCGCCGGCCGGCGCCAUGGCCGGCGACCCCCUUCCCCCUCCUCUCUCCUCCUUCCCCUCCCUCCCUUCUUCCUGGGCCCAAAUCGCCUCGGGGAGCCUUCCCGCGGGCGCGGCCGCCGCCCCGGCGGCGCUGGCCGCCGUCGCCGGGCUCCCUGCGAGCCACGCCGCCGCUGCGGCCCUCCGCGCGGGCGCCGGCGGGCGCGCGGACGGGGACCCAGCCGGCGCGGACCACGCCGCCGCCGCCGCCGCUGCGGCCCUCUGCGCGGGCGUGGAUCCCGCCGGCGGGGCUCCCACCGCGGCAGCCGCUCUACGCCAGGGGGCGGGCGGCCCGGCAGCUGCUCUCUGCCAGGCAGCGGGUGGCCAUGCGGGUGCCGAUCUGGGCGCUCCUGUUGCUGCCACGGGCACCGGGGGAGGGCCUGCUCGGCUGCCUUUCCCUACCCCGCCUCCUCCAGAUGUGACCCUCGCGGCGGCCCUCGUUGCUGCCCGGGCCGCUGCUGCCGAGGGCCAGGCACGCCUGCGCGCGGCCGCCCUGACCUGGGAGCGUGAGCGUGAUGCGGCCGACGUCUUGGCCCGUCAGAUCGCUGAGGCCGAGCAGCUCCUCGCCCACCCGGUGUCCUACGACAGCACUGCCACCUCCUCCGGUUCCGGCGCUCCCCGUCCUCCUUUGGUUGUCUGGACCGACCCGGCCGAUCCCCUCGUCGCGCAGCUCCAUUACCAGGCCGGGGGUGUUCAGAACAUCAAGAGCCUGGUCCCCGUCGUCCUCGACCCUGAGUCGCCCUCCUACGCCCGCUGGCGGGACAUGGUGCUGCUCAUUCUCCGCCGCUACGCCCUCGACGACCAUGUCCUCGUUGACACCUUCCCUGCGGCCCGGACAGCUACGUGGCUUCGCCUCGACAGCAUCGUCUUGUCGUGGAUCCUGGGCACCAUCUCCCUCGACCUCCACGACCUCAUCCGCGGCACCCCCGACACCACCGCCCGCCGGGCCUGGCUGGCGCUCGAGGGCCAGUUCCUGGGCAACGCCGAAGCCCGGGCUCUUCGUCUCGACGCCAACUUCCGCACUUUCGUCCAGGGCAACCUCUCCGUUGGCGAGUUCUGCCGGAAGAUGAAGACCAUGGCGGACUCCCUCGGUGACCUUGGCUGGGCCGUGGAGGACCGGAUCUUGGUUCUCAACGUUCUUCGCGGCCUCAACGAGCGCUACGCCCACCUCCGCACCUGGAUCACCCGGCAGCGGCCCUUCCCCACCUUCCUGCAGGUCCGUGAUGACCUUGUCAUGGAGGAGCUUACUUAGGGCAUCCAGCCUGGGUCCCUUCCUGCGCCGGGCUCCGCGUCUUCCUCGACCGCUCUUGCUGAGACUCCACCGCCACGACCCUCCGUUUCGCCACCGUCGUCCCUUCUUGGUCCUCCUCCUCCUGGGCCAAGCGGGGGUGGGGGGGGCCGUGGCGGCCGCCGUCGCCGCGGUGGGGGGCGUGGUGGGGGGCGCGGUGGGGGCACUCCGACGGGCACACCGGCGCCUCCACGGGGCUCUCCCUGGCCGUCCUUUGCCAACCCAUGGUCAGGGCGCAUCUCUAUGUGGCCCUUCCAGGCCACCGGAGGCGAGCCUCGUCCUCCGACCGCCAUGCUCGCUGGCGCUGUCCCAGCUGCUCCGUUUGCGUCGCCGUGGGCCCCAACUCCCGGGGCCUCGCCUGGGCCUGUCGGGUGGGACCCAACAGCCUUGGCACGCUCCUUCGGCACCAUGGCCCUGACUCCUCCAGUCGGUCAGGACUGGAUCGCCGACUCGGGUGCCACUUUCCAUACUACACCCGACCCUGCUAUCCUCUCUUCCGUUCACCCUCCUUCUUCCUCCCACCCUUCGUCCAUCAUGGUCGCAAAUGGCUCUUGUCUUCCUGUCACCUCCGUGGGUACAGCUCACACUCCCGGUUCUUUUCGGGUUUCUGAUGUUCUUGUUGCUCCCUCCAUGGUUCACAACCUUCUUUCUAUUCGCCGUUUAACCACUGACAAUUCCUGUUCUGUUGAAUUUGACUCCUCUGGUCUUACUGUGAAGGAUUUGGCUACCCGGCGACCUCUUCUCCGAUGUGACAGCACCGGGCCCCUUUACUCCCUCCGAUUUUCUGCGUCCACUUCUUCCGCUUCGCCCUCCGCUUCUUCAGCUGCUUUUGCCGCCACAGCUUCUUCCACUACAUGGCACCGGCGUCUUGGUCAUCCUGGCCGUGCUGUCCUGACACAGCUUAGUCGUAGUUCCGACAUACCAUGUACUCGGGCUCAUGAUGAGCACCUGUGUCAGGCGUGCCAACUGGGCCGUCAUGUUCGACUUCCUUUUCCUACCUCCUCUUCACAUGCGACACAUGUGUUUGAUCUUGUACAUUGCGAUCUAUGGACAUCGCCUGUUCUGAGCAUUUCUGGCUAUAAGUACUAUCUUGUUGUGGUUGAUGAUUUCUCAUUAUUCUUGGACUUUUCCCUUGCGUGCCAAGUCUGAUACUUUCCCCACGCUUCUCCACUUCUUCGCUUGGGUGUCCACUCAGUUCGGUCUCACCAUCAAGGCCGUCCAAUGUGACAACGGCCGCGAGUUUGAUAACACCACCUCCCGUGCCUUCUUCCUCUCUCACGGCGUGCACCUACGCAUGUCAUGUCCCUAUACCUCCUCCCAGAACGGUAAGGCUGAACGCAUGAUUCGUACCACGAACGACACCAUGCGCUCUCUUCUGUUCCAGUCUUCUCUCCCUACCCCCUUCUGGGCUGAGAGUCUUCACACCUCCACCUAUCUCCUUAACCGACUACCUUCCGUUGCCUGCCCCGCUCCCACUCCACACCACGCUCUCUUCGGUACCUCCCCCCGCUACGAUCACCUUCGGGUCUUCGGGUGUGCGUGUUAUCCUAACACCGCUGCCACCGCUCCUCAUAAGCUGGCUCCCCGUUCGACUCAGUGCGUCUUCCUCGGGUACUCCCCGGAUCACAAGGGGUACCGUUGCUUUGACCUCUCCUCUCGGCGGGUCCUCAUCUCUCGCCACGUGGUGUUUGACGAGUCCGUCUUCCCUUACUCCACCACCUCCCCACCUCCUUCCACCUCCGACCCUGAUCUCUCCUCCCUGUUUCCCACUAACCCGGUGGACCAGCCACCGCUACCGUUGUGUCCUGCAGGUACUGCUCCGCCGUGGUUCUCAUCGGGCUCGACGUCCACCGGUGCUGUCCCUGACCCUGCGCCCAGCGCGGGUCCGACGGUGCCGGCCUCUGGUGCUACCUCUACCCCUUCGCCCUGCGCGGGACCGGUGGCACCGCCCGCAGCACCUGCUGUCCGGUUUGCGCAGCCCGUGCGCGUCUACCAGCGCCGGGCGCGGCCGGCUCCCCUGGACCUGCAGCCGGCCCCGCCACCGCCGUCGCCGCCUCAGUCAUCGCCGGUGGACUCUUCUCCGCCGGCGACGCCUACACCACCACCACCUCCGCCGGCCCCGACUGCCCGUGUCGCGCCGUCGGUGUACCAUCCGCCUCUCCUACACCGGCACCCGCGUCAUGUUCACCCUUGUGUGUGUGCCUUUCUUUUCAUGUCCAGUCUGCAACUCCGCUGCGUCGGUAGUUCAGACUGCGGGGGAGUGUUGGUGUAUGUGUGUAUUAUGGCCCAAUAAGGCCCAUGUAUGACUGCUAUAUAGCUACCCACUACGGUUAGCCCCAUAGAUAAGGUUUAUCCUCUAAUACAUAGAUGUGCUUAAAAGAUAAAAAAAUAUUUUCAGGGAUUAUAAAUUUUGCAAAUUAGAAGUACAG